rnacentral:lncRNA from 1 species
GGUAAGUUGUGAAACAUUCCCUACAAAUUAUAUUUGAAACUUUUUAAAGCUUGGUGUAUGGAACUUGAAGUGUUUGGCAGUCGAAUGUGAUAAUGGGUCGGUGCACUCGUGAGAACUGCAAGUACCUCCACCCUCCACCCCACUUAAAGUCGCAGCUAGAAAUUAAUGGGAGAAACAAUCUGAUUCAACAGAAGACUGCCGCAGCCAUGUUCGCCCAGCAGAUGCAGCUUAUGCUCCAGAAUGCUCAGAUGUCAUCUCUUGCAUCUUUUCCUAUGAAUCCAUCACUGGCAGCUAAUCCUACCAUGGCUUUCAAUCCCUACAUACCUCAUCCUGGGAUGGGCCUGGUUCCUGCUGAGCUUUUACCAAAUGGUCCGGUUCUGAUUUCUGGAAACCCACCUCUUGCACUGUCAGGAGUUCCUGGUCCAAAACCACCUCGUACGGAUAGACUGGAGGUUUGCCGUGAAUUUCAGCGUGGAAACUGUACCCGUGGGGAGAGCGAGUGCCGCUAUGCUCACCCCACGGAUGUUUCCAUGAUUGAAGUCACUGAUAAUACUGUGACAAUCUGCAUGGAUUACAUUAAAGGCCGAUGCUCCCGGGAGAAAUGC